ACGAACGCUGGCGGCAGGCUUAACACAUGCAAGUCGAGCGCGUAGCAAUACGAGCGGCAGACGGGUGAGUAACGCGUGGGAAUCUACCCAUCUCUACGGAACAACUCCGGGAAACUGGAGCUAAUACCGUAUACGUCCUUCGGGAGAAAGAUUUAUCGGAGAUGGAUGAGCCCGCGUUGGAUUAGCUAGUUGGUGGGGUAAUGGCCUACCAAGGCGACGAUCCAUAGCUGGUCUGAGAGGAUGAUCAGCCACACUGGGACUGAGACACGGCCCAGACUCCUACGGGAGGCAGCAGUGGGGAAUAUUGGACAAUGGGCGCAAGCCUGAUCCAGCCAUGCCGCGUGAGUGAUGAAGGCCCUAGGGUUGUAAAGCUCUUUCACCGGUGAAGAUAAUGACGGUAACCGGAGAAGAAGCCCCGGCUAACUUCGU
rnacentral:rRNA from 1 species